UGCUUUCUGGGUCAGGGUUAGUGUUGGGGAAGGAAAAUUUAAGGAUAAUGCAGCUGGAUGGCCUGUGUACCAAAAUGCAGCACCCAGAGGGAUCUGGGUCUAUGCAGAGCAGCCCCUCACGCCUUUGCCCCUCUUUAUUUCCACCACCACCCCUUCCCAGGGCCAGAUGCACUUCCUGUGACUUCACGAUAUUGUUCUUCCAAGGAAACCUUCACUCACAGCCCCUUCAGCUUCCUAAGCAAAGUUCCUUGGCCAGAUGCUGCUGCUGUGUGACUCCUCCUCCUUCCUCUGGGUUACUGCAAGCUGGUAUCUGACCAGGAAUUGUUGUAGGAAGGUGGUGUCAGAAAAUGUCAAGGGCCUUUACUGGCCCAGUUUGGAUCAGAUUCUUUGUGAGACCAUUUCCCACCCCCUAUCUACUGGAAUUUGAGGGGUGGUACAAAUGAACCUGCCGAGUCAGCUGUGGGCGCUGCAGCUGGUACUCCGGGCUCCAGGGAGCUGCCACAGGUUUAAACACCACAUCUUC